AUUAUUUUGCAUGAAAAUUAAUGCGCCUGUCAUUUGACCAUCUUUACGCAGUGAUCUCCCCUUGAAUUUUUCGGCGUUAGUUUACACAUAAAGAGAAGUAACCGCUUCAAAAAGGUGGACUACUUUCGGCACUUGCAAUUAACAGCAUUAGAGUCUGAAAUUCGCUACCAUUAUUUGUUUGGUCUGACGACCCAAACAAAUAAAAAUCAUUCAAAAAAUAAAACCAGACCACAAGAUAAUUUUCUUUGGACUUGCCACAAAAUAUGAGGCCAAUUUUUAUUCAUUAUAAAUUUAUGUUUUACUUAUUUUCAAAUUGUCCAUUUAUAAAAGUUGUCCAGUUAAAAUUGUACAUAUUAUUUUACAUUUCAGAUGUUGGUAGUGAUCCACCUAUCAGAGAAUCUUCUACAGCCAUUAGAAAUCAGCUGGUUGGUGUAGCAGUCAAUGUUUUGCUGCUUGCCAUUUCUCAUAAUGGGUGCUUGUUUUUAGAAUUUGUAAAUGUUAAACAUGUUUUAAUGUGUGUUGUUAUGAUGCGAACAUGAUUAUAAACAAUCUGUGAUCAUUAUGAAAUUAUUAUCACUUAAACGUGUCUUGUCAUCUUUAGAAAGAAGAGGAGAUAGUUAUAUAUUUUUAUAUACACCUUCAUGAUAAGUUAGCCAUAGCUAUGUGUCUAUCGCAACGGCGUUGGAGUAUUCAUCACAGAAAUGAUGGAUAAAAAAUGGCUGUUUGCUGUUGUCAGUAAGUUUAUGACUGAAUUUUACUUAAUGUUUUAAUGUUUUACUAGUGAGGUGGGAGCCUACAUAUAUAUUCUUCCAACUUAUAACAUGGACAUUGUGCAAUACAUUGUUAUUUAUACAAACAGUUCUGUACAAUUUCACGUGGGGACGCCACUUUUUCCUAAUUUUGGUUAAAACAUGUACAAAUGUGUGCACAAAGACCCCUAAAUACAAGGGCAUCGCAUCAUAUGUAUGAUACUUGCACAGAACAACCAUAUUUUCGAAAUUAAUGGACCCACCGCUUCUGCAAAAGUUAUGGACAGUGUGUAUAAACCAGAUUUUAAAACUGAUAAUAGCUUUUCUUUCUAUAUUUGAUAUCUGAAUAUAUGAAAUAUUUAAAUCAAACAUCUAUUAUAGUAUUUUUUUUUAUUUAAAUCUCAGUGAAUCUACAUUAACUGAUUCUAUAGAAACGUAGCAGUUUUAGAAUACAUGUACAUUGUAUAAUCUUACAUGUAUAUGCUAAUAGAUUUUUAUGUUGACUUUUGACAUUUGAAUACUUUAAACUAUAAGGGGUUUCAGUAUAGAUUUUUUUUUUCUACUUUUUAGCUCACCUGAGCACAAAUUGCUCAAGAUUGAGCUUUUGAGAAUACUCUGCGUACAUUGUACAUCCUUCAAAAAUGGUGUCAAAUUCUUAAAACAACAUCUCCUACUAUACCAAAAGGCUAAUAUUGUUAAAACUUAGGAAUGUUCCUGGCAUGGUACUCUUUAAAAAUUGUUCAUUCCAUACUAUGCUAAAUUCUGGAUGUCAUGGCAACAGAAAGAAAAAACUUAAAAAAUCUUCUUGUAAAAAAAAAACGAAAGAGCUACUGUAGAGCCUACAUGUAUAUAUUAAGCAUGAAACAUCUUCUUAUGGCUGUCUACCGAGUUUGUUCAAAUAGUCAGCAUUAGCCCUGUCAUUGAUUUUCCUUAUAAGUAUAUAGUAAAAACUAAAAAUAAUUUCUUGUAUUAAACUGAAAGAGCUAGAGCUUGCAUAUUAAGCGUAAAACAUAUUCUAGUGGGUGUCAAAUAAAAGCUUUUGGGUCAAAAUUGGCCCCACCCCAGGGGGUGAUAUUAUAAAUUCUUCUAAAAAUCCAGAAGAGGUAGAGCUUAGAUAUGAAGCAUGAAACAUCCUCUAGUGGGUUUCUACCAAGUUUGUUUAAAUAAAAGCCCGGAGGUCAAAAUUGGCCCCGUUCAGGUUUCAUUGAUUUUCUUUAUAUGUAGCCCCCCCCCCCACCUUUAGUGUUAAAACAAAGAAAACUUAUUCUAUUAUACUAUAGAGGCUUUAGCAUAGAUAUUUGGUAUGAUACAUUUAAUGUCUUUUCGGGUGCACUAUUUCAGAUACAAAUAUAUACGAGGGCUGUCCGGAAAGUUCGUAGACAAGGCUAUGAAAUUAUUAUAAACAGUCAUAUCAAUAUGAUGAUUGGAUAUUUUGCUAAAGUUUUUAUUUGCUACAUAUUUCUAAAUUAAAAGACAUGAUGAAAUAAACAUAUGUAAAGCGCCGAUCACUAUGGCAACAUGAUCAAGGAAUCACGGAGCACUUGAUUUCAUAACGAUAGCUACUCGAAUAAUAAGUUGCUAAAAGUUGUAAUUUUAACGCAAACUCUCCUUUUAAUUUUGUGGCCUCAUAGGAUACUAUUACAUGAUGUAAAGUGUAAAUUAUGACGUCAUACGUAAAUAAACAGCUUGUAAAAGAUGAUUAUAGGCAAUGAAGGUGUGUAAAUUUUGUGUUGCAAAAAUGACGUCAAAUUCACGGACGGAGCAUUGAAUGAUAUUUAACUUCAUAGCAACGCUAAUAUGAGCCAACUGAGAUUUUAAUCUUAACUUUUAAAAACAAAAUCAACCAUAAAAUGUUAAAGGCAACUUGUGUUUAAAUGUCAAACAAGAUUAAGAAGCGGUGAUGACAGGAUGUCGUAUAAGAAACGCUCCAGACGACCAAAAGUAGCAUGGCCGAAAUAUCGUAGAUUGCGUUACAAUUUUUGAAAAAGGCAAACAUCUCACACACUAUAUGGGAACCAUUGACAUCUUUGAUUUUAAAUAAUAAUUUUAAAUAUGAAAUUCAUGAAGUAAUAGCAAAGAACAUUACAUGUAUUAAGUAUACGCGAGACAGGUACCAUGGCUAUUGAAAUCGGAAGAAAUUGAAAUGUUGGUAAACAUGAAGUUAAUUUGACGCCGUUGACGCUGUCAAAGUGCUCCAUGACGAUGUAUGUAUGUUAUAUGUAAAUACUGUUAAAAUACAAACGUAAGUCACAGUUCAAUAAUUUUUGAUAAAUGUGUUCGCUAGAUAUGUAUAUUUAUGCUGAAAAAAUUUGUACAGCGUAUGUAUUGUUAUACAAUAAAAAUGAAGAUGUAUAUGAACUUUCCGGACAUAUACUCGUACUUGUUCAUAUCAGUUUAUGAUUUAGAUUUUAUAUCUGCUUUCGCUUUUAGUUUACAAUAUUACUUGUCUCUUGUCAUGGAGAGUAUUAAUAUUGAGGUAAGCGAUAUUAGGGUCAUCAUGACCCUCUUUAAUCAGUUAUAACAGUGUAACCUAAUGUCUCUCAGGUUAUCAAACAUCAGUUUGUUUCUACAAUGGGAUCAGACAGAUAUUUGCACUGAAAUAACUCUGAAAGUGUUAGAAUAGUUAGUAAUUUGUUAAUGGUCUUACUUGUUAAAGAGAACUUUCUUCAACUGUUACAGUAACCACAUUUUAUUUAUUGUAUAGGUAUUAAUUAGUUAAUCAUUUAUAACUUGUUUUCUAGUUACUUGUUUAUUAUGUUAUUAUCUUGGCAUUUUAUGAAAACAGCAUGCAUGCAAAUUAAAUAGUUUAGCAUCCAUGACAGGGGAUCAGUGUAAAAUUCUAAACCACAGACUUUAAUUAAAACUGAAUUAUUA